ACGGGUGAGUAACACGUGGGCAACCUGCCCUUGAGGCUGGGAUAACUUCGGGAAACCGGAGCUAAUACCGGAUAAUAUAAGGAACCUCCUGGUUCCUUGUUGAAAGAUGGUUUCGGCUAUCACUUAAGGAUGGGCCCGCGGCGCAUUAGCUAGUUGGUGAGGUAACGGCUCACCAAGGCGACGAUGCGUAGCCGACCUGAGAGGGUGAUCGGCCACACUGGGACUGAGACACGGCCCAGACUCCUACGGGAGGCAGCAGUAGGGAAUCUUCCACAAUGGACGAAAGUCUGAUGGAGCAACGCCGCGUGAGUGAUGAAGGCCUUCGGGUCGUAAAGCUCUGUUGUUAGGGAAGAACAAGUGCGAGAGUAACUGCUCGCACCUUGACGGUACCUAACCAGAAAGCCACGGCUAACUACGUGCCAGCAGCCGCGGUAAUACGUAGGUGGCAAGCGUUAUCCGGAAUUAUUGGGCGUAAAGCGCGCGCAGGUGGUUUCUUAAGUCUGAUGUGAAAGCCCACGGCUCAACCGUGGAGGGUCAUUGGAAACUGGGGAACUUGAGUGCAGAAGAGGAAAGUGGAAUUCC
rnacentral:rRNA from 1 species